AUUGCUGAAAAAACAGAGAGAGGAAAGGAUCUUGAAAGAGUCGAUAUCCCAUCUGCAUAAGCCAAAGAGCAAGCCUCAAGAAAGCAAGGUAAAGGUACCAGAAUCCAACCUUGAGGACCAAGAAAGCGUAAAGGCAUUAGCUUGAGCAUUUUGAUCAACAUGAAUAACUCGGAGAGAAAGGUGUUUGGUCCUCCAGAAGUUCUGUCCUGAUCUGCUUUGGACUUCUCAGAGAUUCUCUGGGAUUCUUUGUCCUGGCUCUCGCUAGAGAGUACCAUGAAGCAAGAAUGAGUGGAUUGUCUCAUUUAGCUCAUACAUUUCUUGGUCUGUCAUACCAAAUAAGGUAUGGUAAGAAAUGUUAGAUGCAGUAAACUGGUUGCGAAAUGCUG